rnacentral:rRNA from 1 species
UACGGAGGGUUCAAGCGUUGCUCGGAAUCACUGGGCGUAAAGCGUACACAGGCGGCUCGAUAAGUCGGGUGUGAAAGCCCGGGGCUCAACCCCGGAAUUGCGCCCGAUACUGCCGAGCUUGAGUACGGGAGAGGGAUAGCGGAAUUCCUGGUGUAGAGGUGAAAUUCGUAGAUAUCAGGAGGAACACCAGUGGCGAAAGUGGCUUCCGGGCCCGAUACUGACGCUCAUGUACGAAAGCGUGGGGAGCAAACAGG